AUUGAACGCUGGCGGCAUGCCUUACACAUGCAAGUCGAACGGUAACAGGUCUUCGGAUGCUGACGAGUGGCGAACGGGUGAGUAAUACAUCGGAACGUGCCCGAUCGUGGGGGAUAACGGAGCGAAAGCUUUGCUAAUACCGCAUACGAUCUACGGAUGAAAUCAGGGGACCUCUAGGCCUUUCGCGGACUGUUCUGCCGAUGGCUGAUUAGGUAGUUGGUGGGAUAAAAGCUUACCAAGCCCACGAUCUGUAGCUGGUCUGAGAGGACGACCAGCCACACUGGGACUGAGACACGGACCAGAAUCCUACGGGAGGCAGCAGUGGGGAAUUUUGGACAAUGGGCGAAAGCCUGAUCCAGCAAUGCCGCGUGCAGGAUGAAGGCCUUCGGGUUGUAAACUGCUUUUGUACGGAACGAAAAGACUCUUACUAAUAAAGAGGGUCCAUGACGGUACCGUAAGAAUAAGCACCGGCUAACUACGUG
rnacentral:rRNA from 1 species